AUGGAAUUGCAAUAUAUGGAAUUACAAUAUAUGGAAUGCCUGGACCUGCUGUUCCAGCUGGAGCUGGGCUGCAACAGCGAGGCCAACUGCUCUUUUGCAGCAACUCUCUGGCCUCCAACUCUACAGAGUCUUUUCUGAAGGUGGCAGGGUGUGGAAUCUGCAAGGCGUGCUGGGCCCCAUCCUUGACUGGGUGUUUGAAGAGAAGUACGUGGAGCUGGGCAACAGCAAGGUGGAAGUUAAGGACCUAUGGUGCUCUGGGCUGCUCUGCCUGCAGACCUAGGCUGAGGUGCUGGAGCAGAGUGUACAAACGCUGCGCGCCCACCUGAGGGCGCUGCUGAGCGCAAGCUGUCGCUGGGUUCGCGCAUGCCCCGCCGUGGUCCGCGCCACCUUCCACCCGCUCUUCCCCAACGCCCAGCGUAAGAACGUGCGGCUCCUCGCCAUCCCCGGCUUCGUGUGUCCGCGCUUCUUCUCUCCGGCCAUCAUGUCGCCCAAGCUCUUCUCCCUGCGGGAGCGGCACGCGAACGCCCGAACCAGUCGUACCCUGCUCCUGCUGUCCCAAGCCAUUCAGAACGCGGGCAACACGGACACGAUGGUGCCCAGGGCCAAGGAGGCGUGGAUGGAGCCUCUGCAGCCCACAGUGUGCCGGGCGUGGGGCCGCUGAAGGACUUCAUCACCAAGCUCUUGGACAUUGAGGAGGAGGAGGCGGAGCUGCACCUGCAGCCUUCUCUGAGCUUGCAGGUGCUGCCGGUGAAGGAGGGGCCGCUUUUCGUCCACAGGACCAAGGCCAAGGAUCCCCUGGCCACCUCCUUCAGGAAGCUCUGCUUCUCCCUCACCACCGAGGCCCUCAGCUUCUCCCAGACGCCCGGCUCCAGGAACAGCGCCCUCCUCAAGCUGGCCCACAUCCAGGUGGCCGAAAAGGUGGAGAAGAGCUUCUGCAGCUCCCUCGUCAUGCGGGUCAUCUACACGGAGGACGCGGGCGGGCCCCAGACCGCCCACCUGCAGUGCAAGUGUGUGAAUGAGCUGAGCCAGUGGGUGUCGGCGCUGCGGAAGUGAGCGCCAACAACCCGGCCUGCUGGGUUCCUGCCACCCUGGCGUCUUCCGCGGGCACAAGUGGAGCAACGGGGACAAGUCAGGUGGGGGCCGCAACAGGACACAGUCAUGGGUGACCCUGCAGGAGCGGAGUGGCCCUCUGGACCACGACCUGGAGGCCCAGCUCCUCUCCCAGCGCCUGCAGGGCGCGGAGCCUGCACUACGGAAGAUGUGUUGGGAGCUGUCUGCAAGAUCAAAUAAGAAAUAUGGAAUUAAAUGUUAAUUUUGGUGCAAAAAUUUCUUAAAUGCACACUUCUUUCAUACUAAACAUUGUCCACUGAUGAUAAGAACCCCUUGUGUUUAUGGUCUUAAAUAUAUUUGAACCAAAAUGAGCAUAAUAUGUGAAACCUUGUCAUGUUUGUCUUCAGUUUCUUCUAUGAAGCCCAAAGUCAGGAGCCUCUCUGCCCAGCCAUGAUGUUUCAAGAAUUUCAAGUUCUACUUUAGACUCUGAAAGGACUUUUAAUUUUAUAGAGGAUCAGAAGGAUUUUUCACAUUUCUUUUGCUUAAAAGCACAAAAGUCAAGGCAACAAGGAGAAAUAGAAGGAGAUUGCAUCAGUGUCUUGUGAAGAAAAGAACCUUUGGUUACCAAAACUGCAUAUCACAAACCCAAGGAAGGUUGUUGGCCAGCAAGAUUUGAUGAUCAAUAACCCCUUUCACAGGAUGAUGGGACGGGCAGAGGCUGAACCACCCUGGCCCUUUCAACAUCAGAGUCAGACUAUCACUGUGACGCGAAGAGCCCGCGUGUUUACGUGAUACUGCGCCGGCGCACCUGAUUGGGUUAUUUGCAAAGCUGGAGGGAGCAUUCGACGUCACAAAGCCCAGGCCGCUUCACCUCUGUUCACAAAAGGCAUCCCGUGAGCUGGAGCUUUCAAAGACCUGCUUCAGGCAUGCAAGUGAGUGUAUUGGAUGUGAAUCUGCCAGCCUCAGCCAUACCUUCAGAUGACUGCAGCCCAGCCAACAGCCUGAUGUAGCUGCUUGUGGAAACCAGUUUAACUUCUUGAAGGUUAUUAGUGACCUUGAAAAGAACAGUUCAGCAGAGUAUGUGAUCAAAAGCCUUAUUAGAGUGUGUUCAGAGGGACUGAGAGAAGAGAAAGUGGAGACAGAAACUGCAGAAUCCCAUCCCACUAGCAUUAAGGGAGUCGGCAUGUACUGAACUGAUGAAUGGAUGUAUGCAGGCACCGCUGUCUCCCAGAUGGCAGGUGAGUGAUGAGGACAGAUGGCACCACUGUCUGCAACCACAGGAGGCACUCAGCAUUGUAACCACGUGGGCCCAGCACUCACUUGCCUGCUCACAGGGUGCAGCCUUGCUCACAACCAUGCCUGCAGGAGCCUGAUGUUGUGGGCACACAGUGGCACUCCCAACCCAUCAUACACACGUGCCUUCUGUUCUGGCAGGGGGCACUACAGUACAGAUGUGCUCAUCUGCAGAGGAGAUGGGACAUGUGAUGUGGUCCCCUACAUCUGGCUCCCAGACCCCUUUGUCUCCCAACUCCUGCCAAGUCCCUCUGGACCCAAGGCUCUGUGGAUGUGGCUCAUACUUGAAGCCCCACCCCAGGGUGGGCUUGGGGUUCUGGGGGGAAACAACACUGAAUUUGGAGACUCCUGGCCAACUGUCUCACACAAACUGCCCCUGUGCAAGUUGUAGCUCUUUUGUGGGCCUUGGUUUCCUCAUCUGUAAAAUGAGCUUAAUGUGAGCAACUGCCUUUCCUGCCCUCCAGCAAUAUACUGAAGAUCAAUUUGGACAACAGGUAGAUACAACACUUACAAAUGAGUAAAUAUCAUGUAUGUGAAGGUUUGUACAGAACACAAUAGGUGCUUAAUAAGUACGAAUGUGUCUUCUCUGGAGACACGCAGGGUCCCCAGCCACCAGCUCCCUUCCUACCUUUGUCACUGAACUUGCCUGCCCAGCCACUGUGGCAGAUGCACUUCCAGGCCUAGCAGCCAGAUGUAGUGCUCAUGGUGCUCACAGGGCGCAGUCCUGGUCACACCUGACAGGAAAAGCAUAAAUUCAGGACUUUUGGUGGGAGAUGUGAGGAUAGGAAGGCAACUUCUAGAAACCAGGAGGCAUUUGAUUGCCCUGAAGAGAAAGCAGACUUGUCCCAAUAGGUGAAGGGCUGUGCAUUGUCACAGGACACAUCCAUGGGAUCAGACCAUCAGACACUAGCAUUUGAGUCCUGGUUCUGUAAUGUAACCCUUCUGAGCCUUCACGUUCUUGUCUGUAAGCUGAGAAUACCCCUGGCAGAGUUGUGUUGAGAGGAAAAGAUGAUGUCUGCAAAUGCCUUCAGUACCAUUCCUGGCAUGUCCAAGGCACAAGCAUUUAACGAAGCUGCCCUUGAAAAAUCUUCAGGAUUAUCUUCCCAUCCCAAUUCCAGGGCAGACCUCUGACCUGUUUCCCUAAAGCCUUCCAAGGAUGUAUGAUGAGGUCUCCAAAAAGGUCAUGAUAAAUGUGUAUUAUGAACAAUUUCUGCAUGGUUUUGAAAACAUUUUGCACAAAUUUCUCAUUUAAUUCCAUUUUAAUUAACCUUUUCAUGUCCUUUCAUUGCCUCAAACACCUGCCCUGUCAUCUUCCUUAAGUGCAGAGCUCCCUCCUGGUACAGAAUCUGCCCAGCCCCCAUCCUAGGGAGUCAAUGAAUCAUGAAGAGACCCUUGAUAGAGCCUGUUUCAUCAGAAGGGCUUCUCAGCAGCACUCUACACCCCAGCCUCUUGCCCAGGCUAAACUAUUUCUUUUCUCUCUUUCCUUUCUCUCCCCUUUGUUCAUGGUGCCUGAUCCCACUCCUGUCAAGCUUCAGAUCUCUCUUGCCAAGUAACCUGAGGAGCAAUGUUUCAGACUCCCUGAUUCAGACUUGGGAGAGUAAAGUGAAGGAAGCAAAAGAGGCAGAGGGGAAUGGAGUGAUGGGGAGGAGUCUGGACAGUUUGUUACUAUCCUGGUACCACAGGAGUGAUAAGGAGUGAAGAACGGAGUCUCAGGCACUAUGUCCUGGGCUUGACCUGGUUAUGCAUGUACAGGGCUGGGGAAUGGGGAACAAAGGGUUUGGGGGCAAGUGCUCAGGACAGGUACCUGCAGGAGCCAUGGAGCAGCUGCAGUGGCCCAGGUCACAGUGAGAGAUGAGGUGAAUAGCUGCAAGAGAUUGAUGUCAGAGAGAAAAGUCUGGCUCAUGGUACAACUCACUAGGAUGUGGGGCUCUGGAAAGUGUUUGGGGUUCCAGGCAGUGGGUAGACCCAGCUCUGGGGCAAGGCCUUUAUUUUCUUUGCUUUUACCAUUCCCACUCUGACUCCUUUCAUUAAUGACACUUUAUAUACAGAGAUGAUCUAACACAAUCUAAAAGCAAGCAUGAACUGAUAGAAUUUUGCAGAGGCUGGUGUUAUGGCAUAGUGGGUAAAGCUGCCCACCUGUGAAUACCUGUGUUCCCAUAGAGGCAUGGGAUCAAGACCCAGCUAAUUCACUGCUGAUCCAGCUCCUUGCUAAUGACUCUUGGAGAAGCAGAGGAAGAUGGCCCAAGAGCUUGGGCCACUGAACCCACAUGGGAGACUCAGAAGAAGCUCUGGGCUCCUGCCUUUGGCUUGUCCAAGCUCUGGCCUUUGUGGCCAUUUGGAGAGUAAUUCAGCAUUUGGAAGAUCUCCCUCUCUCUCUCUCCCUCUCUCUGUAACUCUGCCUUGAAACAAGUAAAAAAGUCUUAUUUUAAAGGAUAAUUAAGCAAGAUUACUGGGUACAAGAUCAACAUAAACAAUCAUGUGUGUUACUAUGUACCCAUAAAAAUAGGGAACAUAUUAAAGGACAAUGUUCAGACUAGAAAAUGAGUAUCUGUUAGAGAAAUGAGACAAAGAUUGAUUUAUGUAAUAUCUUCAAAUAUUCUUCAAAUGAUGCUCAACAAACGAUCUAACAGGAGCAUAAGCCAAGAAUACAAAGAAAAGACCCAGAACCUAGUAAAUAUUCAGUAAAUCAUAACUCACAUGAAGAUUAUUGCAAGAUAGCACGUUUCAAGGUUCGAACAGGAUCAUGGAGAAGGAAGAGAGAUCCCAGGAGAUGGGAUCAUCAGGGAGGCGACAGCGGCCCCUGCAGUUAGGAAGGUGAAGCGGCAAAAGACGAGGCAGCUUCAGACCCAAGGCCCAGCCUUUCCUUGCACUCCCUGCAUCCAGCACCAUCUCAAGAGACCGCCCUCCUGCUAAGGGUGAUUCUGAUUGGAUGCGGCUUCUUUGAUGUGCGUGCUCAGGGUCUGUCUGAAGGAACUGUCUAAUCAGGGAAGCACUGCAGCAGGGCGCGGGGUUUUGUUUUAUGGUGCUGCAGUAUUUGGCUUCUUGGUUCUCCUCCUGAGAGGGGCUCCAGGUGGCUCAGCUGGUGGUGCUACUGUUUGUGUUUCCCGCACCGCGGGAGCCCUGAGGAGGACGCUAUGACCCUGGUGUGCAGUGGGCCGGCCGUGGGGACCUCUCGGGGUGGUGUGCAUUCCAGCCUGCAGCGACUUUGAACCCUGGGGCAUCAGCUUUCCAAUCUCUGUGUGGUGAGGAUGGCAGAGCUCUCAGGGAGAACUUGAACUUUCUGUAUGACCCGAUUUCCUUGAGUGAGGCAGCAGAUCUCAAGCGGUCCUCUAGGCAUACGGGUCUGGGUCAGUUUUCUUGUUGCUAAUCGCAUGACAGUACAGGCUUGGCGCAUGAGAAGGAAGUGGCAUUAUCGGUGCAAGGUCGAGGGGCAGGGUUUGGUGGUGGUCUUCUUGUUGGCAGAGGCCUGGGGUGGCACAGAGACCAGUGGACAGACAGAAGGGGUACAGAGGGGGCCAAUCCAAAGUGGUCUAUGUAGCGGCCCCUAGGGAUAAGCCAUUAAUCCAUGAACACAUGAACGGGUUUAUCCUGAUCACUUCCUGUAGGGCCCCACCUGUUCUCACUGCUGAAUUUCUCAUCACUGGAUUAACCGUGCCCAUGAGUUACAGAGGGGAUAAACCAUGUUUAAUAGCAUGAAGGCUGGCAGGAGGUCCCUAAAUGUCCAGAUCUCCUCCCACCUAGUUUUGAGAUUUAGCCCUUCCGCCUCUCAUGUGGAAGAAGGCACCCUUUCUUAGGGCUUUCAAGGAAAGAAGGAAAGAACUUCAAGCUUUCCUUCCUACCAGGAUUACCUAUUAUUUUCAUUGCUUGCAAGCUCAUCAGAUUUUCCUGAAUCAUGAACAUGCAUAUUGCUAGGGUAUUAACAAGAAAAUCUUACAAGUUGUCACGUGACAUGCUAGAAAGCACCCGUGUGUGUUAAAUGUCUCUCAUGUACUUCUGGUGUCAUGUAAAGGAUUUUGUGCCUCAAAAAAUGUUCCCAAGGUCAUAUGUUUAUAUACUUUUUAAAAAAACAAUUCAUAGUGAACAGCAUUUCAUUAUUUUCAGUUCAGGAGAGCCAAAGAGUUAAUCUUGUAGUUUUUUUUUUUUUUUUAAUAACAAGCUAAGAAAAACCCCAUACUACAUACAAUAUACAAAUGAACUAUACUAUUAGAUAAGAAAUUAAAUGUUACAUUUUUAUGAAGAGAAAUGCCUAGUGAUAAAAACAAAUUUUAAGUUGAUCGAGUUAGAGAAUUUCACUUUUGGAAGGGAACUUGCAACAUCAGCCAGUUUCAUUCAAAUUAUAUACUUUUUCACUUUUAAGCAAUUUCUGGUGUUAUUAAAAUUUCUUCACUAAACAUACACAUUAAUAGAAUUAUCUUAAAAUACAUUAUUAGUUACUUAAAUGCAUUAAUAUAACACAUCUGAAAAUAAGUCUUACUACCUGAUAUUGAAUAUAGUUAUCAGAAAUAUUAAGAUGUUGUCACAAAUUUAAAAAAAAUUGUUUUGUCUCUGAAGUGAUUUUUCAGCAAUAAUGAAUAAUGGAAAUCCAUAAGAGAUGUUGGGAUAACAUUUGCCUCAUGGGCAAUUCAUAGACAUAUGGUUAUUUAUCUCUGCUUGUAGGCUUAAUUUUGAAGUUAUCAUUUUUAUGGCAAUUGUGGUAAUACAAAUGACCACAAACCAAAUAAUAAAAUAAUUGCAAUUCCUAUACUUUGAGAAAACUGAUGGCUUCUCUGUUAAUGUACCAAACAGAAUUUUUCCAUGCUAAUUCACUAGAAACAUUUCAAAAAUAUUUCUUUCAUUUGGGGGGGAGUAAAGUAAUGAAAAAAUCAAACUUUCGGGAAAUUAAAGUAUUUGCAUUUAAUUUGUUCAUUUUUUCUGUCUCAUCACCAUAGUAGUUAUUUAGUUGGAUGGAAAAAAAGUAGAUUCAGAAUGUUUCCAUUUGUUGGCCACUAACAACAAAGUAGGGGCAUUGAAACAUCAUUAGCCCAAUAAAACAAGAUUUCAGUGGUGGGGAAAUCAGGGCUCUUUCUGAAUUUGGUUAGGGAAAUGUAUUCUCUCAUUUUAUGUGGAGCUGUCCACUUUUGGUAUUUUUUAAUUUAAUGUACAUUUUACAAUUUCAGGAGAACUCAGCACUAGGUGUGUCUACCUUAUUUUUAAGGAAAAUCUGACUAAUUUUUAAGAAUGGGACAUCAAUAUUGUUUCCUUUUCUCAGUUUUGAAUAGAGUGUGUCACCCCUUGAAAACCACCUCACCAGUGUGCUUUUUGUUUAAUUUUGUUUUUUAAGUGCAAACUUGAAAUUUUUGCUUAUAAAACAGUGACCUUUAUGUUUUUCCAUAAGAUUGACAGAACUUUACCCAUUUAUCUUCAUUAUAUGACAGUGUGUCUAUUCAAUAAAAUUAACAAAUGCAUAAAAAGUGCAAACAAUCAGUAGGGUAUGCUUGCUGGGUUUAAUUUAUGAUGAUGUGGCCGGCGCCGCGGCUCACUAGGCUAAUCCUCCGCCUAGCGGUGCCAGCACACCGGGUUCUAGUCCCGGUCGGGGCGCCGGAUUCUGUCCCGGUUGCCCCUCUUCCAGGCCAGCUCUCUGCUGUGGCCAGGGAGUGCAGUGGAGGAUGGCCCAGGUGCUUGGGCCCUGCACCCCAUGGGAGACCAGGAAAAGCACCUGGCUCCUGGCUCCUGCCAUCGGAUCAGCGCGGUGCGCCAGGCGCGGCGGCCAUUGGAGGGUGAACCAACGGCAAAAGGAAGACCUUUCUCUCUGUCUCUCUCUUUCACUGUCCACUCUGCCUGUAAAAAAAAAAAAAUUUUUUUUUUGAUUUUUUAUUUUUUUUAAGAGUUUUAAAAAAACAUUUUUAAUGAUUUCUUGAUUUCUUUUUUUUUAAACUUUUAUUUAAUGCAUAUAAAUUUCCAAAGUACGACUUAUGGAUUACAAAAAUUUAUGAUGAUGUGUUGAUCAUCUCCGUCAGGUACUCUGCUAGGCAUGUUUAUUGGAAAAUAUAAUUUCAUUUCUCAAAAAGUUAAGCAAGUUGAAACGCUUUUGCAAUUUUGAAGGCAUCUUCUGAUAACUUUCUGAAACAUUUCUUAGUGUCAAAAUCAGGAAACCAAUAAUCUGUUUGACUUGAAGCUAUUAGGUUCCUGUGGUACUAGGAAGAAAAUUAUUUAGUGCCUUUCAGCUUGUGAAAUGAUGAUUGAUAGGUCUGUUUUUUUGAAAAAGAAAGGUGGGGAGGAAGUGCACGCAUUAACUGUAAGGUUGUAUCUAGUUCACAGGGGAGGUAGUCAUUUCAAUCUUUGGAAUUAAUUCUAGAAUUUAAUGAUAACUUUAAGUUCACAUAGAGGUAGUUAGUAAGAAAUUUAUUUACCUUAUUAUAUAAACACGAAACUGUUUUAAAACCUUCUUUCCUAGACAAGAUGCUCAUUUUAAUACAAAAUACAAAAUACAAUUUUUAGUACAAAAUACAAAAUACAGUGUCUCCUUUUAGAAGCUUCCUACAAGUGAAAGUGGAUUUGUGCAUUUUAUAUGACAUUUGCUUGUGUCAUGUUUCUUUAUGUACUUUUCCAAAGUACUUAUGUACUUUUCUAGAUUUACUUGCAUGGACUUGCAACUCUGCCAAUUGAGAUAACUAAAAUGGUCAUAGUGUUUCAGAAGAGGAAAUGUACUUAAUUUUUUAUUUAUUAAAGUAUGAAAGGCUUCUUCAUAAAUGCACUGAAUUAAAUGCUAGAAAUUUCUUGUUAAAAAUAAAGUAUUAAGUAAACAAGAAUUGAAUGUAAUGAACUUAGCACAGUGCCUGCAACAGCUCUCAGUGCAUUGUAUUCUUUUUCUUUUUCCACUUUUAUUUAAGGUAUACAAGUGUCAUGUAUUUCAUAUAUACAGAUUUAGCAACAUAAUAAUACUUCCCACUCAACUCUCCCUCCUCCCCCAUGCUCCCUCCCUUCUUCCUCCUCCCUCUGCUAUUCCCACUCUUAAUUUUUACAAAAUCUAUUGUCAGUUUAUUUAUACUCAUAAGAUGAACCCUAAGCUAAGUAAGGGUUCAAAAGAUAGUUUGUAGAAAAAAUACUGUUCCUCAACAGUAGCGACAAGAGCUGUAAAUGAUUAUUGAAACUCAAAAUAUCAACUUCACUGCUAUACAUUACAUUGUAGGUACUCUAUUAGUUACCACAGAGCAGCUCCUGUGAAUCCUGCAACUGCGGGAGCUCUGGAGCUCUACUUGCUUGUUCUGUAUGAUAUAGAGAAAUUCCCAUGACCUCUUAUGGCAAGUAACCAGUAGCAUCUCAUUCACAAUUCCAGACCAGACUGGGGCCAGUGCUGUGGCGUAGCAUGUAAACCAGAGUACCAGACCUAAGGAUACCUCUUCUGAAACUCUUACCACAUGGUGCUGGAAAGCAUGACAGUGCAUCAUUUUUGCAUGCCUUGUAGGCACAAAGAAAAGUUCUCUCCACUAUCUGAAGCUCUAUGAUUGUUGCUGCUGGUGUUAUAAACCCUGGAAUAACACUCAUCUGUGGGAGUUAGACAGUCCUGACUAUAUUCCUAUGCUUCAGGCUGGAAUUCAAUCCCUGGAAUAAUUGGCAGUCAACCUGAGAGACCUGGAUAAGGACCCCACUGUAUCCUGUAUCUCCAGGGCUGUCACUCUGUGUACUGUAUUUCAGAGUCAUGUAAAUACACCUAGACCCUAGGGUAUGGAGCCUUUGAGCAUUCCAGUGCUCCAGACCCAGACCUGCUGGUAUACAACCCUCAGCAUAAACUGUAUUCACCCUGUAGGCCUAGGGGAAUGUCUCCUUAACAUUUCCCAAACUUGGGACUUGAGCUCAUGAUGCUAAAUUUCUGGGUAUUAGUCAGGCUAACAUCAGGACCUGGGGAAUGUCUUAUCAACAUUGUAUAGUUAAAGGGCCAUAAGUUUUGCUCCCACAAGCACCAGAAAUACUCAUAUUUGCCUGAUAGAAAAAGAUAGCAUAACCAGAAAUGUGGAUACAGAUAUCACAAACCCAAGUAUGACUGACAACUCUCUAGGAACUAAGGACCUAUGGAAGCUCAUGCCAUUUCAAAGUCUUACUAUAACAUUCACAAAAGGCUGAAGAACAGACCUGCGGUGUAUGUAGACAAUGCUGACACUGAUUACUGCUGAAGAAAUCAAGUCUCAAAAAACUUCAAAAGAUUUAAAUCAUACCAUGUACCUUCUCAUACUGAAAUCAAAGUAGUCAUCAAUAAUAAAAAGUAAGAAGGGCAAUAGAAAAUUCAUAGGUACAUGAAAAUUAUAUAACAUGAGACUGAAUUACCAACAUAUCAUUUGAAAAAUUUAAAAAGAGGUCAGACAAUUUUUUAAAUUAAUAUGAAAACAUGACAUCAAAUCAUAGAAUGUAGCAAAAGCAGUAUUAAGAGGAAAUUUUAUAGUGGCAAAUAUUUACAUUAAAAUUCAAAAGAUCUUAAAUAAAUUAUCUAAUGAUGCAUUUGAAAAACCCAGAAAAAGAAAAAUAAACCACAAGCAAAAAUAGUAGUGCACAAGAAAUAAGAAAUAUAAGAACAGUCAUAAGUGAAGUUGAAACUAAAUAAUAUUAGAGAUACAAAACAAAUAGCUGGUUCUUUAAGAAGAUAAAAAAACCAGAAAAGCCUUUAUCCAGAGUAACCAAAGAAAGAAGAAAAAACUUUAAUAAAUAAAAUUAGAGAAGAAAAGUAAAAAUUACAAUUGAUACCACAUAAUAUGAUGGGUCAUGAAAAGCUGAUAUGAACAACUGUGUGUUAACAAAUUGAAAAUCCUCAAAGAAAUGGAUAAAUUCCUGAAUAUGUAUAACAUAUCAAGAUUAAACAAGGAAGAUACAGAAAAUAUAAACAGGCCAUAGCAAGGAAUACUACUGAAGUAGUUAUUAAAAGUUUUGCAUCAAAGAAAGCCCUAAAUUCUACAAAACAUUUAAAAGGGAAUAACUCUAAUAUUUUUUUAAAAUUAUUGCAAAAUAUUUUAAAGUGUACAAAACUGUAGAGAGCCAGCAGUGUACAGAAGGGGGUAAAACCAUCAACAUUUGUGGAUUACAUGAUGUACCUGGAUGAAAACUAAGCACUAAGCCAAAAAGCUGUUAGAACUUAUAAAUCAGUUCAAUGAAAUCAGUUACAAUGUGAACAAACCAAAACCGGUGGAUUUUUAUGUGCCAACUAGGCCAGGCCAGAGCCAGAAACCAGGAGUUUCUUCUGGUCUCCCAUAUGGGUUCAGGGGCUCAAGAACAUGGGACAUCUUCCACAGCUUUCCCAGGCUAUUAGCAGGAAGCUGGAUCAUAAGUGGAGGUACCAGGACUCAAACCGGUGCCCAUAUGGAAUGCUGGUUUUGCAGGCAGUAGCUUUACAGGCUAUGCCACAAUGCCAAGCCCUCUAUUGAUCAUAUACCUAGUAAUCUGUGUCAUUCCAAUUUUUAAUCAGGUCAAGGCAUCAUAGUACCUGAUUCAAAGCAUACUACAAAGUUUCUGUACCAGUACCAUGUUGUUUUGAUAACAACUGCCCUGUAGUAUGUCCUGAAAUCUGGUAUUGUGAUGCCUCCAGCUUUGUUUUUGUUGUACAAGAUUGCUAUAGCUAUUUGAGGUCUCCUAUGUCUCCAUAUAAAUUUCAGCAUCAUAUUUCCAGAUCUGAGAAGAAGGUCUUCGGUACCUUGAUUGGAAUUGCAUUGAAUGUAUAAAUUGCUUUUGGGAGAAUGAACAUUGUGAUGAUAUUGAUUCUUCCAAUCCAUGAGCAUGGAAGAUUUUUCCAUUUUUUGGUAUCCUCUUCUAUUUCUUUCUUUAAGAUUUUGUAAUUUUCAUCAUAGAGAUCUUUAACGUCCUUGGUUAAGUUUAUUCCAAGGUAUUUGAUUGUUUUUGUAGCUAUUGUGAAUGGGAUUGAUCUUAGAAGUUCUUCCUCAGCCAUGGCAUUGCCUUGUGUAUACAAAGGCUGUUGAUUUUUGUGCAUUGAUUUUAUAUCCUGUACUUUGCCAAACUCUUCUAUGAGUUCCAAUAAUCUCUUAGUAGAGUUCUUUGGGUCCCCUAAAUAAAGAAUCAUAUCAUCUGCAAAGAGGGAUAGUUUGAGUUCUUCCUUCCCAAUUUGUAUCCCUUUAAUUUCUUUUUCUUGCCUAAUAGCUCUGGCUAAAAUUUCCAGAACUAUAUUGAUAACAGUGGUGAGAGUGGGCAUCCCUGUCUAGUACCAGAUCUCAGUGGAAAUGCUUCCAACUUUUCCCCAUUCAAUAGGAUGUUGGCUGUGGGUUUUCCAUAAAUUGUUUGAUUCUAUUGAGGAAUGUUCCUUCUAUACCCAGUUUGCUUGGAUUUUCAUCAUGAACGGGUGUUGUAUUUUAUCAAAUGCUUUCUUGGCAUCUAUUGAGAUAAUCAUAUGGUUUUUCUUCUGCAAUUUGUUAAUGUGGUGUAUCACAUUGUUUUGAAAACAUUGAACCAUCCCUGCAUACCAGGGAUAAAUCCCACUUGGUCUGGGUGGAUGAUUUUUCUGAUGUGUGGUUGCAUUCUAUUGGUGAGAAUUUUAUUGAGGAUUUUUGUGUCUAUGUUCAUCAGGGAUAUUGGUCCUUGAUUGUUUUUCAAUGCUGCAUCUUUUUCCGGCUUAGGAAUUAAGGUGAUGCUGGCUUCAUAGAAAGAAUUUGGGAGGAUUCCCUCUUUUUCAAUUGUUCUGAAUAGUUUGAGAAGAAAUGGGAUUAGUUCUUCUUUAAAUGUCUGGUAGAAUUCAGCAGUGAAUCCAUCUGGUCCUGAGCUUUUCUUUGUUGGGAGGGCCUUUAUUACUGUUUCAAUUUCUGUCUCAGUUAUGGGUCUGUUUAGGUUUUCUAUGUCUUCCUGGUUCAAUUUAGGUAGAUUGCAUGUGUCCAGGAAUCUAUCCAUUUCUGAUAGGUUUCCCUGUUUGCUGGCAUACAAGCCCUUGUAGUAAUUUCUGAUGAUUCUUUUUAUUUCUGUGGUGUCUGUUGUUACAUUUCUUUUUCAUCUCUGAUUUUAUUGAUUUGGGUCUUUUCUCUUUUUUUUUUUGGUUAGUUGAGCCAAUGGUGUGUCAAUUUUAUUCAUUUUUUAAAAAAACCAGCUCUUCACUUGGCUCAAUUUUGUAAUGUUUGUUUGGAUUCAAUCCUGUUGAUUUCUUCCCUGAUUUUAAUUAUUUCUCUUCUCCUACUAGAUUUGGGUCUGGUUUGCUGCAGAUUUUCUAGAUCCUUGAGAUGCGUUGAAAGCUCAUUUAUUUGGUGCCUUUCCAAUGUCUUCAUGUAGGCACCUAUUGCUAUAAACUUUCCUUUGAACACUCCUUUGCCGUGUCCCAUAAGUUUUGAUAUGUUGUGUUGUUAUCCUCAUUUACUUCCAGAAAGUUUUUGAUUUCUCUUUUGAUUUCUUGAAUGACCCAUUGUUCAUUCAGGAGCAGGUUGUUCAGUCUCCAUGUGUUUGCAUACUUUCUAGGGCUUCCUGAGUUGCUAAUUUCCAACUUCAUUCCUUUAUGGUCUGAGAAGCUGCAUGGUAUGAUUCUAAUUCUUUUAAAUUUCCUGAGACUUGCUUUAUGGCCUAGUAUGUGGUCAGUCCUAGAGAAGGUUCCAUGUACUGCUGAGAAGAAUGUAAAAUCUUUAAAUGUAGGAUUGAAAGUUCUGUAGAUAUCUGUUAGAUCCAUUUGGGCAAUAGUGUCUAUUAAAUCUGCUAUUUCCUUGUUGAUCUGUCCAGUUGAUCUGUCUAUUUCUGAGAGUGGAGUAUUGAAGUCCCCCAGUAAUAUUGUAUUGGAAUCUAAGUCCCCCUUUAAAUCCCUUAACAUACCUUUUAAAUAAACCGGUGCACUGUAAUUAGGUGCAUAUGCAUUUAUAAUAGUUACAUCUUCCUGUUGAAUUGAUCCCUUAAUCAUUAUAUAGUGUCCAUUUUGUCUCUCUUUACAGUUUUUGUGUUAAAGUUUAUUUUGUCUGAUAUUAAUAUGGCUACAUCUGCUUUUUUUUUGGUUUUUUUUUGGUUGGCAUGGAAUAGCUUUUUCCAACCUUUAACUUUCAGUCUGCAUGCAUCUUUGUUGGAAAGAUGUGUUUCUUGUAGGCAGCAAAUAGAUGGGUUUUGUUCCUUAAUCCAUUCAGCCAGUCUGUGCCUUUAAACUGGAAUGUUGAGUCCAUUAACGUUCAUUGUGACUAUUGAUAAUUAGUGACUUUGCCCUGUCAUUUUCCCAAAGAUAUUUUCUGGUAUAUGCUUUGAGCUCCCUAUGAUCUUUUGAUGUGAGGUUUCUUUCCUAUACCUUCUUUUAUAUUGAUUUCCGUGUUUCUAUGUUUCUGUGUGUAGCACAUCUUUAAGCAUUUUUUGCAGGGCUGGAUGAGUGGCGACAAAUUCUUUCAAUUUCUGUUUGCUAUGAAAAGUCUUUAUUUCACCUUCAUUCACAAAUGAGAGCUUAGCAGGAUAUAAUAUUCUGGGCUGGCAGUUUUUCUCUCUUAGUACCUGUGCUAUAUCUCGCCAUUCCCUCCUAGCUUGUAGGGUUUCUGAUGAGAAGUCAGCUGUGAGUCUGAUUGGAGAUCCUCUGAGAGGAAUCUGACAUUUCUCUCUUGCACAUUUUAGGAUCUUUUCUUUAUGUUUCACUGUGGUGUGGUUCAUUACAACGUGUCGUGGUGAGGAUCUCUUUGGGGCAUGUUUAUU